rnacentral:rRNA from 1 species
AUUGAACGCUGGCGGCAGGCUUAACACAUGCAAGUCGAGCGGAGAUGAGGUGCUUGCACCUUAUCUUAGCGGCGGACGGGUGAGUAAUGCUUAGGAAUCUGCCUAUUAGUGGGGGACAACAUUCCGAAAGGAAUGCUAAUACCGCAUACGUCCUACGGGAGAAAGCAGGGGAUCUUCGGACCUUGCGCUAAUAGAUGAGCCUAAGUCGGAUUAGCUAGUUGGUGGGGUAAAGGCCUACCAAGGCGACGAUCUGUAGCGGGUCUGAGAGGAUGAUCCGCCAAGCUGGGACUGAGACACGGGCCAGACUCCUACGGGAGGCAGCAGUGGGGAAUAUUGGACAAUGGGGGAAACCCUGAUCCAGCCAUGCCGCGUGUGUGAAGAAGGCCUUAUGGUUGUAAAGCACUUUAAGCGAGGAGGAGGCUACUGAGACUAAUACUCUUGGAUAGUGGACGUUACUCGCAGAAUAAGCACCGGCUAACUCUGUGCCAGCCGCCGCAGUAA